rnacentral:rRNA from 1 species
GACGAACGCUGGCGGCGUGCCUAAUACAUGCCAGUAGAACGCUGAAGGAGGAGCUUGCUUCUCUGGAUGAGUUGCGAACGGGUGAGUAACGCGUAGGUAAACUGCCUGGGAGCGGGGGAUAACUAUUGGAAACGAUAGCUAAUACCGCAUAAGAGUAGAUGUUGCAUGACAUUUGCUUAAAAGGUGCAAUUGCAUCACUACCAGAUGGACCUGCGUUGUAUUAGCUAGUUGGUGGGGUAACGGCUCACCAAGGCGACGAUACAUAGCCGACCUGAGAGGGUGAUCGGCCACACUGGGACUGAGACACGGCCCAGACUCCUACGGGAGGCAGCAGUAGGGAAUCUUCGGCAAUGGACGGAAGUCUGACCGAGCAACGCCGCGUGAGUGAAGAAGGUUUUCGGAUCGUAAAGCUCUGUUGUAAGAGAAGAACGAGUGUGAGAGUGGAAAGUUCACACUGUGACGGUAUCUUACCAGAAAGGGACGGCUAACUACGUG